GAUCUUCUGCAAUGGGCGCAAGCCUGACAGAGCGACGCCGCGUGGGGGAGGAAGGCCUUCGGGUUGUAAACCCCUGUUGCCGGUUAAGAAUUCCAGGGCGCGAACAGCGCUACUGGUUGACGAAGGCCGGUGAGGAAGCCACGGCUAACUACGUGCCAGCAGCCGCGGUAAGACGUAGGUGGCAAGCGUUGUUCGGAAUCACUGGGCAUAAAGCGCGCGUAGGCGGCCGAGUCAGUCGGGUGUGAAAGCCUUGAGCUCAACUCAAGAACUGCGCCCGAUACUGCUCGGCUUGAGGGCCGGAGGGGAGAGUGGAAUUCCCGGUGGAGCGGUGAAAUGCGUAGAGAUCGGGAAGAACGCCGGCGGCGAAAGCGACUCUCUGGUCGGUACCUGACGCUGAGGCGCGAAAGCUAGGGGAGCAAACGG
rnacentral:rRNA from 1 species